GAUGAACGCUGGCGGCGUGCCUAAUACAUGCAAGUCGAGCGAACGGACGAGAAGCUUGCUUCUCUGAUGUUAGCGGCGGACGGGUGAGUAACACGUGGAUAACCGACCUAUAAGACUGGGAUAACUUCGGGAAACCGGAGCUAAUACCGGAUAAUAGUUUGAACCGCAUGGUUCAAAAGUGAAAGACGGUCUUGCUGUCACUUAUAGAUGGAUCCGCGCUGCAUUAGCUAGUUGGUAAGGUAACGGCUUACCAAGGCAACGAUGCAUAGCCGACCUGAGAGGGUGAUCGGCCACACUGGAACUGAGACACGGUCCAGACUCCUACGGGAGGCAGCAGUAGGGAAUCUUCCGCAAUGGGCGAAAGCCUGACGGAGCAACGCCGCGUGAGUGAUGAAGGUCUUCGGAUCGUAAAACUCUGUUAUUAGGGAAGAACAUAUGUGUAAGUAACUGUGCACAUCUUGACGGUACCUAAUCAGAAAGCCACGGCUAACUACGUG
rnacentral:rRNA from 1 species